rnacentral:rRNA from 1 species
AGUCGACGAUGAAGCCGGAGCUUGCUCUGGUGGAUUAGUGGCGAACGGGUGAGUAACACGUGAGUAACCUGCCCUUGACUCUGGAAUAAGCGUUGGAAACGACGUCUAAUACUGGAUACGAGCUUCAGCCGCAUGGCUAGGAGCUGGAAAGAAUUUCGGUCAAGGAUGGACUCGCGGCCUAUCAGGUAGUUGGUGAGGUAAUAGCUCACCAAGCCUACGACGGGUAGCCGGCCUGAGAGGGUGACCGGCCACACUGGAACUGAGACACGGUCCAGACUCCUACGGGAGGCAGCAGUGGGGAAUAUUGCACAAUGGGCGAAAGCCUGAUGCAGCAACGCCGCGUGAGGGACGACGGCCUUCGGGUUGUAAACCUCUUUUAGUAGGGAAGAAGCGAAAGUGACGGUACCUGCAGAAAAAGCACCGGCUAACUACGUGCCAGCAGCCGCGGUAAUACGUAGGGUGCAAGCGUUAUCCGGAAUUAUUGGGCGUAAAGAGCUCGUAGGCGGUUUGUCGCGUCUGCUGUGAAAACUGGGGGCUCAACCCCCAGCCUGCAGUGGGUACGGGCAGACUAGAGUGCGGUAGGGGAGAUUGGAAUUCCUGGUGUAGCGGUGGAAUGCGCAGAUAUCAGGAGGAACACCAAUGGCGAAGGCAGAUCUCUGGGCCGUUACUGACGCUGAGGAGCGAAAGCAUGGGGAGCGAACAGGAUUAGAUACCCUGGUAGUCCAUGCCGUAAACGUUGGGAACUAGAUGUAGGGACCAUUCCACGGUUUCUGUGUCGCAGCUAACGCAUUAAGUUCCCCGCCUGGGGAGUACGGCCGCAAGGCUAAAACUCAAAGGAAUUGACGGGGGCCCGCACAAGCGGCGGAGCAUGCGGAUUAAUUCGAUGCAACGCGAAGAACCUUACCAAGACUUGACAUAUACGAGAACGGGCUAGAAAUAGUCAACUCUUUGGACACUCGUAAACAGGUGGUGCAUGGUUGUCGUCAGCUCGUGUCGUGAGAUGUUGGGUUAAGUCCCGCAACGAGCGCAACCCUCGUUCUUUGUUGCCAGCACGUAAUGGUGGGAACUCAAAGGAGACUGCCGGGGUCAACUCGGAGGAAGGUGGGGAUGACGUCAAAUCAUCAUGCCCCUUAUGUCUUGGGCUUCACGCAUGCUACAAUGGCCGAUACAAAGGGCUGCAAUACCGCAAGGUGGAGCGAAUCCCAAAAAUCGGUCUCAGUUCGGAUUGA